GUUUAUUUUUUUUUGUGGCAUCACAGUAAAUGACCUGUUAGCGAUUAUUACGACACUGGAGAAGGCCCUGAACGCAUCAAGCAAUAGCGAGCUCAAACCUCUUUAAUAAUGUCAAUGUUUGAUCGGCAGUGUAUGUCAAUAUAAAUUUCACAAAGUCACCAAAACGUCGCCUUGGACUUACGUUUUGUUUGAUCAGCCGUUUUACUGCCACGUGACAUGCACCGUAUGGAAACAGUUAAGGUUAGCGCUGAUUUUGGGUGGAGAACUUCCAAUAUACAUUGAAAAAGCCAAGGCAGUGGUGUGUGACAAUUGCAGGAAGACAUCUAAAGUGCUGGUGGACACAAUCAGUCAUGGGCAAACUGACCAGACAUUUCCUUGAGUGAUAGCCGGACCUUGCAUUCGCAGACGUCCUGGCUGGUUGGCUCCAUAAACAUGCGACUGAUUCUUCGCUGAAAGAUGUGUGCUGAAGAACAUUCCAUCCAGAGACGCUGCUUUUGUUGCUGUGUUCAGAUCUGCCAUAGAACAUGCUUCCAGGAGACAUAUUUAGCAGAGAGCUAAAUCCUGAAACCUCUGGCGUCGACUCUCAGGGCACAGGAAGAAUGAGGAGCACUGCCCAUGCCCAGUUCGUUACCAUGGACACAAAGGCACGGCGACAGAUUGCAGAAAGUGUGAGUAACUGUUUACUUUCUGUCGCAGUGCUGCAAACACAGACUGAUGUAGCAGACAUGCACACAUUAUAGAAGUACUUUAUCCAUCAGAUUGUUUUUGGAGCAUGCACGCUACCUCUGUGUGUUUGCAUCGUUGACACUUCUCCAAUGUGUCGCAAUAAAUGAGGCGCUACGUGUGUGGUCGAGGAGAAACACUCAGUCCAAAACUCAUUUCAUGCAUUAGCAGUGUUACAAUUGUUAUCAAAGUUCCCACCAGCUCUCUGCCUGAUGGGAAUUAUCUGCUUCCUGGAAGCCGCUCAUGCUGGAUAGAAACUUUCACAGAACGACCCCCCCGAAAAAAAUAAAAAAUCAGCCAGUUGCUGACAGAGACGUUUCUCAGCCAAACAACAUCCUGAUGUGUGGAGACAAAUGAGAACACUUAUUCAUAUGAAUUUAGGAUUAUUAUCCCUCAUUUAUCACCACCAGUCCAUAGAUUUUCCCCCCGCAGUUGGAAAGGCUGUUCCAAGCAGUUAAAACAUCUGCCGUGUAUUAUUUAUUGUCCGCAUGCCUCUUUCUUUCUAAUUCUUGCAUUUAAUUUCGCACUUGAUUAGCAUAUGAUUACAUCACAGUCUCCUAUUUUCCUUCUUUUUUUUUUAC